ensembl:lncRNA
GACCUCUUGGAGCGAGCCACAGCCUGUUUCCCUCCCCACCCCUGAUGUCACUUGGCCUUUUGAUCCCUCCCAGAGAGAAUUUGCAGUGAAGGUCACUGUCUCAGCACCUUGACCAUGUUAAACUGUUAAACUGAAGCCAGACAAUGGGAGGUGAGAAAAUGAAGGUUUUACAACAAAGAGGCAUCUAGAAGCAUACACUUCACCAGGCUAUCUUCAGUAAUGAAAAUGGAAUUGAAGCUUAUUUUUCCCGUUUGCAUGAUGUCCCACGUGGAGUAUCUACACCCCUCUUGGCCCCAGCACUGGUCUGCUUUCAACUCAGAAAUUCAUGAUCACUCUGCAAGUGGCUAGGCCAAAGGUCAGCGUGAACAGGAGAAAUCAGCUUUUGGAGAAAAAGGACAAUGUUGAUGGAUUUUUUUUCUUCUUCUUCCCAGACUGACUCUGCCUUGCCUACCCACAAACUCCUGUGUUAAUUUCAGUCCACAAUGUGUUUUAUUUUUAUUUCUAUAUUUAAUGUUCCGAUGCAUAUUUUACAGAAAUGCCUUCUGUGUGUAGCUAUGAAUAGUGUAAGCAUUUCAGUUAUUCCAGGCUUGGGGAAGAGCACGUACCUGAAUGUAUGUGAGGGCUGAGUUACAGAUAACUCUUAGACAAAUGUGGCUUUUAUUACCACUAACUACACAGAGUAACUUCAACAAAACAUUACAAAGUAGAAGUCCUUAAGGGAACCCUUAAUAAUAAGCCAUGUGACUACUCUGGUAUUAGCAUAUAGAUUGGAUGUAUGGAAGAGCUUGGAAAGGGCCAAGGUUCCCUGAAAAAUGGUUUAUUCUGUGUCUAAAAAUUGUACAUAAGGCUGAAAUGGCACGUUUAAAGCACCAUAUCUUAUCUGCCCAUAAAUACAGCACUUGCAAAGCAAAAGUAAACAUAAGCUAAGCCUGUGAACAAAUUAUUGAAAGGUUUUAAGUGUGCUGGGACCAUAGUCACUAUAUGUCACCACGUGUGCAUACAUAACUUAAAGCGUAGGUAGGCAGUUGUUUGCCCCUACAUCUCUGACUAGGGGGAGGGGAACUUGCGCUAAUGAGUCAGGAUCCUGUUUACACUAUUAAUCCCCUAAGCAAUUGCUCAUUUAAAGACAUUCCGUUUUUGGGGUUUCCAUUCAUUAAAUCCAUUUGCAGCGUAUGCAGACUUUCAAUUUUCCAGCCAUUUUUCAUAAGCCAAAUUCAAAUAGACCCGUGUCAUAAUGCCUCUCAUUAAGGCGCUGGCCUUUGCUUUUAAAAGGCGUCUCAGAACAGCUAUGUACAUAAAAGUUGCUAACUCAAAUGCCCCUGUAUUUUAGAAAAGUCAACCUAUUAAACGUUACUAUGUGAAACGUUCUCUCUGUGAUGGAAAGUAUACGCAUGCUGAACACGUGUCUAAUUCCUAAUGUUUCAAUAAGUUCCAUUUAUUCUGGGUGUUUCUUUCCCCUGCUUUGACUAUGCAAUUCUAUUUUUAACUGCCACUAUGCCUUCAGGAUUUUAGGUAAGCUCUCAG